rnacentral:sRNA from 1 species
GAAAUACACAAAAUAACUCUUUAGCUUGCUCUGAGCAUUUUUUUCUUUUCUGAUAGCAACUUUUUAACAUUGUGGAUCCACAGAACUUACUGCUUUGCUUUCUCUUUUGGGGUCAUAAUUCCUCUCCCCUUGGAGUGUCCACUCCAUGCAUGUGCACUUAGGAUGUGUGGCUGUGUGUGUGUUUGGGAACCCUCACGGACACGUAAGGUUCUAUGUCAUCAAGUAGAAAACCUAUCUCAUUAUCAUUAUAAUGUCUUCAGAUGCUUUCUAAGGUUCACCUCUUUUUUAACAUUAGAAGUCAGUGAAUGCAGCUUUCAUUAUAAUUUUUAAUACUUUAAAAUGUUUUUGUAUUAGCUGCUAGAAUGCUCAGCAGCAAAGUUAUGACUCACUUCUAGCAAGUGUGGUAGUUCUUGCUUCAAGCAUUUGGUUUCAUGUAGCUUUUCUUCUUAUUUUUUCUUUGUCUUGAUUUUAUCAUUACUUAAAACAAUUCUGUUGAAUAUUAACACUUGGAAAAUGAAAAAAAGUGGAGAAAUAAAUCAAUGAAUAAACAAAUAUUUUAAGUGGCAUAGGCACAGCAUUUAAUAUUUUGCUUCAGUAGUUCUUAAUUCAAAAAAAAAAUCCCUCAUUUUGGUAAGCACUAGGGAUUUACCAACAUUUAGCAAAUGAUUUCUGUUACACAUACUCUUAAAAUAUUCAGUCUAUUUAUACUAUUUAUUAAUUUUCUCUUUAUCAUAAAACUUUUAUUCACAUAAAAACACAUUAUAAACUUUCAAUGUGGUUGCAGGAGCCUUCAUUCCAGGAGUUCCAGUGCAGCCAGUCCUCCUCAGAUACCCAAACAAGCUGGAUACUGUGACCUGGACAUGGCAAGGAUAUACAUUCAUUCAGCUUUGUAUGCUUACUUUCUGCCAGCUCUUCACAAAGGUAGAAGUUGAGUUUAUGCCAGUUCAAGUACCAAAUGAUGAAGAAAAAAAUGAUCCUGUCCUUUUUGCCAAUAAAGUCCGGAAUUUAAUGGCAGAAGCUCUGGGAAUACCAGUAACAGAUCAUACCUAUGAAGAUUGCAGAUUGAUGAUUUCAGCAGGACAGCUAACAUUGCCUAUGGAAGCUGGGCUGGUGGAAUUUACUAAAAUUAGCCGGAAAUUGAAAUUAGAUUGGGAUGGUGUUCGUAAGCAUUUGGAUGAAUAUGCAUCUAUUGCGAGUUCCUCAAAAGGAGGAAGAAUUGGAAUUGAAGAAUUCGCCAAGUAUUUAAAGUUGCCUGUUUCAGAUGUCUUGAGACAACUUUUUGCACUCUUUGACAGGAACCAUGAUGGCAGCAUUGACUUCCGAGAGUAUGUGAUUGGCCUGGCUGUCUUGUGCAACCCUUCCAACACAGAGGAGAUCAUCCAGGUGGCAUUUAAGCUGUUUGAUGUUGAUGAGGAUGGCUACAUAACGGAGGAAGAGUUCUCCACCAUUCUACAGGCUUCCCUUGGAGUGCCUGACCUUGAUGUUUCUGGUCUCUUCAAGGAAAUAGCCCAAGGGGACUCAAUUUCCUAUGAGGAAUUUAAAAGUUUUGCCUUAAAGCAUCCAGAAUAUGCUAAGAUAUUUACAACAUACCUAGACCUCCAGACGUGCCAUGUGUUUUCAUUACCAGAAGAAGUCCAGACAACCCCCUCCACCGCCAGUAAUAAAGUCAGCCCUGAAAAGCAUGAAGAGAGUACCUCAGACAAAAAAGAUGACUGAAAGCAGUAUUUCCAAUAAGGAAAACACAGUAGCUUUUGCUUGAAAUUGUAAAGGCACUUAUUGAUAAUACUUUUAAUGUGUUGGUAAUGAUGUUUAAAAUUGAAAGAUUUUUAAAAUAAAAAUGAUAGAUUUUCUUACUAAAAAUGUUUUUAUUAACCUUGCUUUUAUUGGAAAAAAUCAAGCAAUAUUUCUUUUUCUUUUGUGUUAUAUUGUACUUUACUGAUUCAUUUACUGGUGAUACAUAUGUUUUUAUGGAUUUUCCAGUUUAAUUUGCAUAUACAAAUGAAUGCAAUGGUCUAUUGGUGAGCAUUGAGCAACACUGUAUAAAGUUUUUAAAAUGUAAACACUUUUUAAUCUACUUUCCUCUAAAAAUCAAUAAUAUUCUAUUAUUUCUAAUCCUUUUCCACUUGGGAAAUAACAAUGAAGAAUCUGAGAAUUUUACAUCUAUAACUUUACAGAUUCAUUUUUCCAUUUAAAUUUCAGUUUCUUGGAUCACUGAAUAUGGGAAGGGAGAGCUUCACUAAUUAGACGCAGCUUCUUAAGAACUUAUAUUCUCUUUGACAUACAUCUCUAUUGUAGUUUUUUGUUUUGUUUUGUUUUUUGAGAUGGAGUCUUGCUCUGUCACCCAGGCUGGAGUGCAGUGGUGCAAUCUCAGCUCACUGCAACUUCUGCCUCCUGGGUUCAAGUGAUUCUCAUACCUCAGACUCCCGAGUAGUUGGGAUUACAGGUGCCCACCACCACACCUGACUAAUUUUUGUAUUUUUAGUAGCCAUGUGGUUUUCCCAUGUUGGCCAGGCUGGUUUCGAACUCCUGACCUCAGGUGAUCCACCCACCUCAGCCUCCCAAAGUGCUGGGAUUACAGGCGUGAGCCACCGUUCCUGGCCUAUUGUAGAUUUUCUUAACUACUUGCUAAGGAAAUCAUAUCCUUUUACAUGAACUACAGGUUUAGAACUUGGUUUUAAGACAACUGCUAUGGCCAAAGGGUAAAUGGGAAUUGCCUUAUUGAAGGUAACAUUGAUUGCCUAAUAAGAAAAUGAAUUGUUUGCCACAGAGUUGAAUUUAAUUUGAGUUAGAUAGUUCAGAAUGUAGCACUUGCCCUAUAAAUGAAUCAGAUUUGUUCUAUUUAUAUAAUAUUAGAAUUAAUAUAUUAUCAUGUAAGUGGGAAUUUUAUUUUGUUAAGUGGACUCUCAAAUUUUAGAACUUGUGUGAACUAUCUCCCAGAAAACACAAAAGGUUUCAAGGUAUCACCCAAAGCUAGGGAAUCAACAAACGUACUUUAUUAAUGCAAGACCACAAUUUAAGCCCCAGGCAGGAAUCCAACAGUAACAUUUUUCCUUUAGGUUAAGCAGUAAUUUUUUUGAAUUGUCAUUUUUAAUGGGUCUCAUACAUGCAUAUUGCUAAUAUCAUUCAUGUUUGAGGUUUUCAACAAAGAACCAAUUUAUUAAUAUAAUGUACAAAAAUAGUUGGUUCAUUUUUCUGAAUUCAGUCUUUGAAAUAAAACUCCUUGUUUUGGCCGUGUUUCUGAAUGUAUUGGUGAUUCACCCCCAAGCUAAUUUUUAAAAGUCAUUUUUGAAGUUGGGAAGUCUCAUGAGAGAUGUUGAAGUAUGUAUUUAAUCAAGAGUCAUGAUUUCAAACUAGUUUUACAUAUUAAGCAGUUAGUGUUCUAAUUUAAUGGGUAAAUGUGUGUUUGGAUAAUUAAAUAUCUGAAAAUUUUAUCCUUAAGUAUAUAUAAUUAUUUGCCUCUUAUAUGUCUUAAAGCUAUUUAAACAAGGUGUUAAAUGAGCCAAAACAAUUAAGUAAUUAGAACAGUACAUUUUUAUCAGAGUGUCUGUCAUAUGCAAUGAAUGUAUGUAAUACUAAAAAAUCAUGACUACUUUUAUCAAAGAAAAACCACACAUUAAUCCUAUUAAUCAUGAAAGCAUAGCAUUGUAAAUUAAAGGUUUUCUUUGAGGCUCUUGAAAGUGACCCCAUUGCUUUCCUGUUUUAAAAAUAUUUUAUGCUCUUUAUUUCCACUUCUGUGAAUGUGAUAUUUCUAUUUUGUGAUUAUGUUACUGAAUAAACAAACUUGCUACAUAAAAUUCUUAGCAAUUAAAAAAUUCUGAUUCUGCCAUUUUGUCUCAAAUGUAAUAUACCCUUUUAAUAUCAUAUGUUUACAUAUUUAUGAAUAUGAUUAAUCAUUUUUGUUUGCAUUAAACUUUAUGAAAUGUCAGAAAUGAUUUUACUCUAAUGAAAAACUCAAAUUUUGCCCAAAGUAGCAAUAUUCUUAAAGAUGUUGAAUUUUGACUGGUUGAAUUUUAUAUAGUAACACACAAGUCGUGAUCAUCAAUAUUAUUGCAGACCACGACUCUGCUUAUAUGCCUUGCUAACAAAGAUUUCUUUCACAGAGGCUUUUCUCCUCUUAAGAUUUAAGGUAAGAAUUACAUUUUAUUAAGUCAGUUAAAUGCACCAUGGCUUCAUAUAGUAAUAUAAAAAAACUCUUUGAAGUGAGAAAUAUUAUAUCCUAAAACCUCUAAACCACAAAAAUUCAAUUGAAAGAGUUCUGUUGAAGGAUAAUGACAUACUGACUGCUUAUAGACCAAGUUGCUUGCAUUAUGUAUGUUUAGUCCUCCUUUGCCACUGCUUUUAGAGCCCUGGAAGGCUAAGCGUGAUAGUAAUGCUAGCUCUAAUGCAUAUUUAAAGGAGACUGCCUUGCUUUUAGAAGACAUCUGGUCUGCUCUCUGCAUGAGGCACAGCAGUAAAGCUCUCUGAUCCCCAGAAUCAAGAACUCUCCCCUUCAGACUAUUACCGAAUGCAAGGUGGUUAAUUGAAGGCCACUAAUUGAUGCUCAAAUAGAAGGGUAUUGACUAUAUUGGAACAGAUAGACUCUCUACUACAAAAGUCUUUGGGUAUUUGUUUCUUACAUAGAAAAUGCUAACAUGAAUAGAAAGAUACUGGUACAAGACCAUUCCCGGGAAAGUAGACAUACUUACAUUUUUUUCCUUUUUGGCUCAUUUGAAUGAAUGAACUCAAUUUUAUGUUAAAUUGUUAUAUCAGAGUGACAAGUGCUAUGGCUUGAUAGAAGUGAAGCUCUUCACAUAUAUUCAAAAUACAUAUCACAAACUUUGGUAAAUAGGAUAGUAAUCUGAAGAACUUUUGCCCUUUUUACCCCAUUUACUGUAACUCUUGUUUCUAGGUAAUCGUUCUCUCUCAACAAACUUCUCAAGCGUCUGUGUAACAAGCCACAUGUUCUAACAAAUUGUCUCCAUUGCACUUCAACAGCCAGGUCCCUAUUUUUUAUAACGUAUUAACUUUAUUAUUUUCUUAUUAUUUUAAAAGAAUCUAUGCACAUUAGCAAAAUUUAAAAGAUAGAGAAAAAUAUAAACAGAAAAAAUUAUGUUUACUUCUACCACCCUAAAUCAACUAUUAUCAAUUUUAUACAUAUUUUACUCCAUCUUUUUUCAAAGUUUCUUACAUUUUCAAAGUAACAAUGUGUAUAUGCUGUUUUAUAUCCUACUUUUUCACUUACAGCAUCACAUUUUCCAAUGUCAUUAAAAUUCUCUGUGAACGUAAAUUUUAAAAACUGUACCUACUGUUUUUUGGAAAUCUGUAACAAGCUAUGUGUAAUCAUUCUUCUAAUAUUAAACAUAUUUUGUCCAGAA